UACGGAGGGUGCAAGCGUUGCUCGGAAUCACUGGGCGUAAAGGGCGUGUAGGCGGUUUCGUAUGUCUGGCGUGAAAGCCCCGGGCUCAACCCGGGAAGUGCGUUGGAAACUGCGAAACUAGAGUCUCGGAGAGGAAGGUGGAAUUCCUGGUGUAGCGGUGAAAUGCGCAGAUAUCAGGAGGAACACCGAUGGCGAAGGCAGGUCUCUGGGCAUUAACUGACGCUGAGGAGCGAAAGCAUGGGGAGCGAACAGG
rnacentral:rRNA from 1 species